CCAGCCAUGCCGCGUGUGUGAAGAAGGUCUUCGGAUUGUAAAGCACUUUAAGUUGGGAGGAAGGGCAGUAAGCGAAUACCUUGCUGUUUUGACGUUACCGACAGAAUAAGCACCGGCUAACUCUGUGCCAGCAGCCGCGGUAAUACAGAGGGUGCAAGCGUUAAUCGGAAUUACUGGGCGUAAAGCGCGCGUAGGUGGUUCGUUAAGUUGGAUGUGAAAUCCCCGGGCUCAACCUGGGAACUGCAUCCAAAACUGGCGAGCUAGAGUAGGGCAGAGGGUGGUGGAAUUUCCUGUGUAGCGGUGAAAUGCGUAGAUAUAGGAAGGAACACCAGUGGCGAAGGCGACCACCU
rnacentral:rRNA from 1 species